CAAAGAAUUCUGGGCCACAGCAGGGCUUGGCUUCAGUGCUUGGAAAUAGGACGGCAUCACAGUCUGACAAGCGUGUCUCUCCUCAUUCUCUGGAUGGCAUGGCAGGAGAGCCACUUGCCCAGUAGAGACUUGUGGGAAUGGCUGUGCAAUGACCAGUCUUGUGUGGGCACUGCCUAACAACAACCAAGAGAAGGCAACACUCUGCCCUGCCAGUAGUUUAACCGACAGGCAGUGCAGUUCAGGUCAGCAAAACAUUGGAAUGGCCCAGUUUAGUUAACUGCAUGAACCCUGCAGGUGCAGGUCAAGUCACCUCCCCCCACACACCUAGCUGUGCGUAUUUUGCUCCCUCAUGGGCAGACAUAAUUCCUUAUUCAUGGGGCAUCUGAGCCACUCAUGCCCCCCUCCAGCCAAAAAAUAAUCAGUCGAUUGCUUCUUGCCUUGACAGCCGUUCUGGCUGGAUUUGUUUCCAGACUGGGUUCUAAGCUCUCUUCCUCUGUGAUUGGAAUGCUGUUGCUGAACCAUAGCUAGCACUUUCCCAGCACCCAAAGCAUGUGCUGUCUCACAGUGGGUUUUUGUGGUCAUAUCUAUAUUACAGACAUCAACUAGAGUGCUUAAGGAUUCUCUGAGUGAUCUUGCAAAACUACAGUUCCCAAGAUAUCAUGUGUGAAGGACAGUUAAACCACAUUACAGAUCUAGACACUUUCGCUGCAUGCUGCUUGAGUUGGCCAAGAGGAACGCAGGACAGAUGAGCAAAGUUACAAGGCCCCUGGAAGGUCAUCUACCAUAUGCAGGCAGUUGCUGGGGGUAUAUUGCCACACUGUGUUAUGCAUGAAUCUGUUUUCCAGUGUUGGUCUCUCCAGUGUAAUUGUCUCAUGUAUCCAGAAGAGAAAUAAAAGAUCUGAAACCCAAA